rnacentral:piRNA from 1 species
UCUGAGGGACUCUCCCU